GUGAGCGUAGCUCAAUGGUAGAGCUCCGGACUGUGGCUCCGGCCGUUGUGGGUUCGAGUCCCAUCGCUCACCCCA
rnacentral:tRNA from 1 species